rnacentral:rRNA from 1 species
GAAAGUAAUUAAGGGCGUAUGGCGGAUGCCUAGGCUCACGGAGGCGAUGAAGGACGUGAUAAGCUGCGAUAAGCCUCGGGUAGAUGCAAAUAAUCUUUGAUCCGAGGAUUUCCGAAUGGGACAACCUGACUGUCUGAAGGAUAGUCACCCAUAUUUAAUUAUGGGAGCAAACGCAGGGAACUGAAACAUCUUAGUACCUGUAGGAAAAGAAAAUAAUUUAAUGAUUCCCCUAGUAGUGGCGAGCGAACGGGGAAAAGCCCAAACCUAUGACGUAGUAAUGCGUGAUAGGGGUAGUAGGGUCACGAUAUCGUACUUUGAAAGUGAGGAGAAUGUUCUGGAAAGUUCAAUAAUAUAAGGUGAUAAUCCUGUAUCCGAAGCUUGAUGAGGCGUAGUGAAUCCCUGAGUAGUGCGGAGCACGAGUAAUUCUGCAUGAAUCUGCCGGGACCAUCCGGUAAGGCUAAAUACUCCCGUGAGACCGAUAGUGAAUUAGUACCGUGAGGGAAAGGUGAAAAGCACUCCCAUGAGGAGAGUGAAAUAGUUCCUGAAACCAUACGCCUACAAGCGGUCGGAGCAUAUAUAUAUGUGACGGCGUGCCUUUUGCAUAAUGAACCUACGAGUUACCAUGUCCAGCGAGGUUAAGGGGUUGAGCCCCGUAUCCGUAGUGAAAGCGAGCCUAAAUAGGGCGUAUAGUUGGAUGGGGUAGACGCGAAACCAAGUGAUCUACACUUGACCAGGUUGAAGUUCUGGUAACACAGAAUGGAGGACCGCACGGAUAAGCGUUGAAAAGCUUCCCGAUGAGUUGAGUGUAGGAGUGAAAGGCCAAUCAAACUUGGAGAUAGCUCGUACUCCCCGAAAGGCAUUUAGGUGCCGCGUGCAUCGAUCUCCAUAAGAGGUAGAGCGACCGAUAGGUCAAGAGGGCUUCACCGCCUAUCGAGACCUGACGAACUCCGAAUGCUUAUGGACUGCAGUCGUGCAGUAAGGGGGCGGGUGCUAAGGUCCGUCCCCGAGAGGAGAAGAAUCCAGACCGUCGUCUAAGGUCCCGGAAUUCUGCCUGAGUUAGUCUAACGAAGUCUGGUCCCCGUGACAGCUAGGAUGUUGGCUUGGAAGCAGCCAUUCAUUCAAAGAGUGCGUAACAGCUCACUAGUCGAGGGUCCGGGCAUGGAUAAUAAUCGGGUAUAAGUCAGAUACCGAAGUCGCGGGAUAGCAUUGUAUAUAAAAAGUAUCGGUAGGGGAGCAUUCUAUAUGCGUUGAAUGGUGAUAUUGAUUGAUCCUGGAGCGUAUAGAAACGCAAAUGUAGGUAUAAGUAACGAUAAAGGGGGUAAGAUUCCCCCUCGCCGUAAGACUAAGGUUUCCCAGGCGAUGUCAAUCAGCCUGGGGUUAGUCGGGUCCUAAGUCUCAGCCGAAUGGCGAAGGCGAUGGCUUCACGGUUAAUAUUCCGUGACUUGCUCAUUCAGCGAUGUGGAGACGGAGCAGUGACACUGUCGCGCCCUUACGGAUAUGGGCGUUAAAGAAGUUAGGUGUAGAUAGAUGUAGGCAAAUCCGCAUUUAGAGCUGAUCUUCGAUAGUACAGAGUUUUCUUCGGAGAGCUUUGAUAGUACAGGUAAUCAUACUUCCAAGAAAAUCCGCUAAGCUUAAUGUUUGAGCAACCCGUACCGUAAUCGGACACACGUAGUCGGGUAGAACAUACUAAGGCGUUGAGAGAUUCAUGGUUAAGGAACUAGGCAAAUUGACCCCGUAACUUCGGGAUAAGGGGUCCUCAUAGCAAUAUGAGGCGCAGAGAAUAGGUCCAGGCAACUGUUUAACAAAAACACAGGGCUGUGCUAACUCGAAAGAUGAUGUAUACAGCCUGACACCUGCCCGGUGCUGGAAGGUUAAGAGGAGAGCUUAGAUGUAUGUCGACGGUUUGAAUUGAAGCCCCAGUAAACGGCGGCCGUAACUAUAACGGUCCUAAGGUAGCGAAAUUCCUUGUCGGGU